AGUGAACGCUGGCGGUAGGCCUAACACAUGCAAGUCGAACGGCAGCACAGGAGAGCUUGCUCUCUGGGUGGCGAGUGGCGGACGGGUGAGGAAUACAUCGGAACCUACUUUUUCGGGGGGGAUAACGUAGGGAAACUUACGCUAAUACCGCAUACGACCUACGUGUGAAAGCAGGGGAUAUUCGGACCUUGCGCGAUUGAAUGAGCCGAUGUCGGAUUAGCUAGUUGGCGGGGUAAAGGCCCACCAAGGCGACGAUCCGUAGCUGGUCUGAGAGGAUGAUCAGCCACACUGGAACUGAGACACGGUCCAGACUCCUACGGGAGGCAGCAGUGGGGAAUAUUGGACAAUGGGCGCAAGCCUGAUCCAGCCAUACCGCGUGGGUGAAGAAGGCCUUCGGGUCGUAAAGCCCUUUUGUUGGGAGAGAAAUCCAGCUGGUUAAUACCCGGUUGGGAUGACGGUACCCAAAGAAUAAGCACCGGCUAACUUCGUGCCAGCCGCCGCCGUAA
rnacentral:rRNA from 1 species